rnacentral:rRNA from 1 species
GUCUAUGGCCAUACCACCCUGAAUGCAUCCUAUCUUGUCUGAUCUUGGAAGCUAAGUAGGGUCUGACCUGGUUAGUAAUUGGAUGGGAGAAAAUAGGAUUUAACUAUAUGCUGUCUACA